UGGCAAGUCCCACACAACUAGCUCCUGUUGAACUCCCCCAGGGCGGGAACGCAGCAAGGGUAAAUGGUUGAGCAGUGUGAUGUGGGUCGCUUGCCUUUU
rnacentral:SRP_RNA from 1 species